rnacentral:rRNA from 1 species
AACGAACGCUGGCGGCAGGCUUAACACAUGCAAGUCGAACGCCCCGCAAGGGGAGUGGCAGACGGGUGAGUAACGCGUGGGAACGUACCUUUCAGUUCGGAAUAACUCAGGGAAACUUGUGCUAAUACCGGAUACGCUCGUAAGAGGAAAGAUUUAUCGCUGAAAGAUCGGCCCGCGUUGGAUUAGCUAGUUGGUGGGGUAAUGGCCUACCAAGGCGACGAUCCAUAGCUGGUCUGAGAGGAUGAUCAGCCACACUGGGACUGAGACACGGCCCAGACUCCUACGGGAGGCAGCAGUGGGGAAUAUUGGACAAUGGGCGAAAGCCUGAUCCAGCCAUGCCGCGUGAGUGAUGAAGGCCCUAGGGUUGUAAAGCUCUUUCACCGAUGAAGAUAAUGACGGUAGUCGGAGAAGAAGCCCCGGCUAACUUCGUGCCAGCAGCCGCCGUAAUAC